GGUCGGGUAGUCGAGUGGUCAGACAAGGGUACGCAAUACCUUUUGCAGUGGUUCGAAUCCAUUCCCGACCUCAA
rnacentral:tRNA from 1 species